UACGUAGGGUGCGAGCGUUAAUCGGAAUUACUGGGCGUAAAGCGUGCGCAGGCGGCCAUCUAAGUCGAACGUGAAAUCCCCGGGCUCAACCCGGGAACUGCGUCCGAUACUGGUUGGCUUGAAUCCGGGAGAGGGAUGCGGAAUUCCAGGUGUAGCGGUGAAAUGCGUAGAUAUCUGGAGGAACACCGGUGGCGAAGGCGGGUCUCUGGGCCGAUAUCGACGCUGAGGAGCGAAGCGUGGGGAGC
rnacentral:rRNA from 1 species